AGAGCACGGGCAGAGCGCAGCAAAGCGCGGAUAGAGCACGGGCAGAGCGCAGCAAAGCGCGUGUGCCAGGGUGAGAAGCAGAUCCGGAGGUGGGCUGCGUGUGCCAGGAGAUGCGGAGCGCGUUUGGCUGAGGUGUCUGGCCUGGGAAGCUCUGCGAAAAAGAGGCGGAGAGAGGCGGUGGGAAAGAGGCAGGAGCAGAACUGAAGUACAGCACAGCUGUCUCCGAAUACUCUGGUUCUUUUGGGUGCCUCAAUGAAUGUGAACAUGGAUUCUGUCACUGAAAUAUUCUUGAAGCUGCUCUUUCUCCUGUCUGUUCAUCACCAGCUCAUGGCAGUGGCAGGGAAUAAAUAUAAUUGUGAUGAUCAGCUGGUGUCUGCUUUGCCUCAGUCAUCGUUCAGUAGCUCAUCAGAGCUGUCUAGCAGUCACAGCCCUGGCUUUGCAAGGCUUAAUCGAAGAGAGGGUGAGUGAAUUUUAUUGGCCAAUUGUUAAUUC
rnacentral:lncRNA from 12 species